UACAGAGGGUGCAAGCGUUAAUCGGAAUUACUGGGCGUAAAGCGCGCGUAGGCGGUUCGAUAAGUCGGAUGUGAAAGCCCUGGGCUCAACCUGGGAAUGCCAUUCGAUACUGUCGAGCUAGAGUAUGGUAGAGGAAAGCGGAAUUCCACAUGUAGCGGUGAAAUGCGUAGAUAUGUGGAGGAACAUCAGUGGCGAAGGCGGCUUUCUGGACUAAUACUGACGCUGAGGUGCGAAAGCGUGGGGAGCAAACAGG
rnacentral:rRNA from 1 species